rnacentral:rRNA from 1 species
AUUGAACGCUGGCGGCAGGCCUAAAACAUGCAAGUCGGGCGAGCGGCGGACGGGUGAGUAAUGUAUGGGGAUCUGCCUGAUGGCGGGGGAUAACUACUGGAAACGGUAGCUAAUACCGCAUACCAUCAGAUGAACCCAUAUGGGCUUAGCUUGUAGGUAAGGUAACGGCUCACCUAGGCGCCGAACCCUAGCUGGUCUGCGAGGAUGAUCCGCCACACGUGGACUGUGACCCGGCCCAGACUCCUACGGGAUGCAGCAGUGGGGAAUAUUGCACAAUGGGCCCAAGCCUGAUGCAGCCAUGCCGCGUGUAUGAAGAAGGCCUUCGGGUUGUAAAGUACUUUCAGUCGGGAGGCGUUACCGACAGAAGAAGCACCGGCUAACUCCGUGCCAGCAGCCGCGGUAUAAUUC